rnacentral:rRNA from 1 species
UAUGUAGGGUGCAAGCGUUGUCCGGAAUUAUUGGGCGUAAAGAGCUCGUAGGCGGUUUGUUGCGUCGGCUGUGAAAUCCCGAGGCUCAACCUCGGGUCUGCAGUCGAUACGAGCAAACUAGAGUGUUGCAGGGGAGACUGGAAUUCCUGGUGUAGCGGUGAAAUGCGCAGAUAUCAGGAGGAACACCGGUGGCGAAGGCGGGUCUCUGGGCAACAACUGACGCUGAGGAGCGAAAGCGUGGGGAGCGAACAGG